UAUGUAUUCUACAUAAUUUUCAAUGUUGUUAAUGGUUUUCAAAGUUUUCACUGUUUUCAAACAUUUCAAACAUGAAAACUUUGAAAACCAUUAACAACAUUGAAAAUUAUGUAGAAUACAUA